rnacentral:tRNA from 1 species
GCCCCCGUUGUCUAAUGGUUAUGACGUCAGACUUCUACUAACCGGUAUCUGGAGGUUGCGGGUUCGAAUCCCGCCGGGGGUU